AAAUGAUUGUUGACAGGGAAGAGUAUAAAGCUUUAGGCCAUUACAGAAAGGAUCUUCAUUGGCUGAGAGAGAUCCAUGAGCCGGGUUUUAGAAGUGCGCCCUUAAGACCUUUGAAGAACGUUUUUUGAAAUCAGUAUUCAAAGGCGGCCGCCGCCGUUACAGGCUGAAGUUGGGAGAGCAGAAGUCUGCUUUUCAAACAGAGUGGAACCGCGCGGUUAAAGCGUCUCUGUC
rnacentral:ncRNA from 1 species